AUGGACGACUCUGGCGACGAAAUUUCCUUAUUAGAAAAAGGCGAAACCAACCAAACUCAAAAAGAAGCUGCCGGAAAUCCUCCACUGGAUAUUGCUGAUGUGGUGAAGCUCGUCACGGGCGUUUUGCAGACCCAAUUUCAAAAUUUAUCAGUGCGGAAAACCGCGCCCUCCGACAACAAAAACAAGGGCAGAACAGGCGUUUUCACCUAUAUGGCACCUACAAGACUCCCCCAGCGGCGGCGGCAGGCUCGGCAGCCCAGCUUAGUUCUUCUGUGCCUUCUGCUACUUCGUUUCAGCCAUUCACAUACCAGCAACAGCCCUUUCGUGGCAAAUCUGCACGGCGUCAACCACAGCCCAGUGACGUGUGCUUCAACUGUUUUUCCACAGGACACUGGAAAACCAAAUGUCCCAAAAACAAGUCACAAAGUCAAUGAUAAGUAUAAAGUUCCGGAUAGACGAAUAGAAGACGCUGUUUGUUGUUUGAAGAAAGUUAUUGGUCGUUUCCCAGAUAUAACAGCGAGAGAACUGGCACAAGUAGUUGGAAAAAUCAUUUCCAUGACACCAGUUAUGGAUAUAUUUAAAGUGGGCAGAUGGAUGGGCAUUAACAACGAAAGUAAAGAUCGCCGUCUUGAGGAACUCGCAUCAGAACUACCUCGAUAUUGUAUAACAUCCAAGGCUGACAACACAGCAAAACAAUACAGAUGUGGAAGAUUUGGUUAA
rnacentral:sRNA from 1 species